ensembl:lncRNA
AUGCUACUCACUAAGAGUCAAGAAAUGAGCAGGAUCCAGAUGGCCAGAGAUUUUUUUAGGGACAAAUGGGAGCUUAUCGGUGUCACCUACCAUAUUACUAGUUCAAAGGUCAGGAUGGCCAGAGAGGUCACUUACCCAAUUCACCUCAACCAUGACACGCAGAAGGGAGAGGCUAGGGAACCCAGCACUGUCCUGAAGAAGAGUAGUUACGCUCACAUCCAAGCUCUUACAAUGCUGCCUACAUUUAUACACAACGUUAUCGACGCAAACAGCACUUUCUCUGAAGCUGCUGGUGCUGGACACUGUAGGAGACAGGAUGGACCAUGGGCCUGACCCGGUACUGCAAUUCAUAUUGGGUGCGCCUCAUUAUCAUCCAACUUUACACCUUGGAAGUAAAUUAAACUAAACCGAAUUAAGGCCACUUUAAUUCUGAAUGACAGUAUCCACACAGGGAUUUAAUGCAGUUUAACUAAUCCACUGUAAAUUCACACCUUUAGUUAAUUCAGAUUAAUUUUCCUGAGUAUCCCCUGUAAACAAACUCUAAUAUAACAGCAACAGUUGUGAAGGGAAAGGAGAAUCAGACCCAGCAUAACACUAGAACAGGAUGGCUCAUUCCAGUACACUCCACUGAAGUACCAGUACAACAGGAAAGACCCAAGGAAAUGAGCUAGGUUCCAGGCCCCUUCAGCAGCACACAUUCUCCUUCUGUAGCAACAUCUUGAUGCUAUUCCGCUCCAGUGGAAAACAGAAAUGUUAAGGCCACUUUACAACAAUGUACAGUCCCCCACAGACACUACCAUCCCUCCAUCACCUCCUGUGUCGUGAAUACAUGUGAAUAAGAACUGAAGGCAAAUUUUCUGCUCAAUAAUGAUAUAAAUGCAUACAGUUUUGAUGUCUUCCAUACCUAUCAUACCAGUACACAGUGGAUUCUCCAGCUCCUGAAGUCUUCAAAUCAAGACUGGAUGCCUUUCUGAAAGAUAUGCUUUAGUCAAACACACAUUGUUGGGCUCAGUACAGGAGUAAGUGAAUGAAAUGAUAUGGCCUGUGUUAUACAGCAAGUCAGACUAGAUGAUCGAAUGGUCAUCAAACUCACCUAUAAUCUACGCUAGCUACAACAUACCAGAAACCCUACCAAAAAGACUUUGGACUUUUUGUAAUCAUAAGAACGGCCAUACUGGGUCAGACCAAAGGACCAUCUAGCCCAAUAUUCUGUCUUCCGACAGUGGCCAAUGCCAGGUGCCCCAGAGGGAAUGAACAGAACAGGUAAUCAUCAAGUGAUCCAUCCCCUGUCGCCCAUUCCCAGCUUCUGGCAAACAUAAACAUCCCUCCCCAUCCUGGCUAUUAGCCAUUGAUGGACCUAUCCUUCGUGAACUUAUCUAGUUCUUUUUUGAACCCUGUUAUAGUCUUGACCUUCACAACAUCCUUUAGCAAGGAGUUCCACAGGUUGACUGUGCGUUGUGUGAAGAUCCAGGCAAGAAGUUUUCAUUGACCAUUGUGAACACAGCAAAUGCAUCACCAAUGGAUGCUGACUCAGUAGCUCAUUAGAAAUAAAUCUCUUACUUACCCAUGCCA